rnacentral:rRNA from 1 species
UGUAGUCAUAUGCUUGUCUCAAAGAUUAAGCCAUGCAUGUCUAAGUAUAAGCAAUUAUACCGUGAAACUGCGAAUGGCUCAUUAAAUCAGUUAUCGUUUAUUUGAUAGUACCUUACUACUUGGAUAACCGUGGUAAUUCUAGAGCUAAUACAUGCUGAAAACCCCAACUUCGGGAGGGGUGUAUUUAUUAGAUAAAAAACCAACGCCCUUCGGGGCUUCUUGGUGAUUCAUGAUAACUUUACGGAUCGCAUGGCCUUGCGCCGGCGACGGUUCAUUCAAAUUUCUGCCCUAUCAACUUUCGAUGGUAAGGUAUUGGCUUACCAUGGUUUCAACGGGUAACGGGGAAU